ACAUGAACAACGCAAAACAAUCAACGUUCUCUCUAAAAGCAUUCUUGCGAGUACACCACUCCCUCUGCGGGGGCGCGUACCAUGAAGUAUAGAAAUCGUCUAUGGGAAUGGAGAAGAAUUUUUCUUUUUUAGAAUUCAGUGUUGGUCUUGGGUGCAGUGUCUUCCAGUUUUUUAUGGGAGGGAUUGCAAUGAUCGGCUCUACAC
rnacentral:sRNA from 1 species